GAUCUCUCUUUGUUGAUUCUCCGCUUCCUUCAACAUAUCCCCACAUGCUUCAUUGUUGUAUUUUAUUUUUAUUUUCGAAACUAUAUUAAUACAGAGGAGAGGAAGAUCGUCCUCACAAGUAUUUGCAAAAAUGAUACACAAAUCAAUGCCAAAAUGAUGACGCAGUGAAGGUUUAGACAGCUCAAGAAUGAUAUUGCACAUCAAUCACUGAUUCAAUGUUUUAUUUUUGUCUUCUUCUUUUUUUUUUUUGUUGAAUGAUACUCA